UACGGGGGGUGCAAGCGUUGUCCGGAUUCAUUGGGUUUAAAGGGUGCGCAGGCGGGAGAUUAAGUCAGGGGUGAAAGACGGUUGCUCAACAAUCGCAGUGCCCUUGAUACUGGUUUUCUUGGGUGACCUUGAGGUAGGCGGAAUGGGUGGUGUAGCGGUGAAAUGCAUAGAUACCACCCAGAACUCCGAUUGCGAAGGCAGCCUACUGGAGGUUAACCGACGCUCAGGCACGAAAGCGUGGGGAUCAAACAGG
rnacentral:rRNA from 1 species